AUGUUCCUUUCUUGUGCUUUCUGUAUCUUUUCAGACUCUCAAAUCAAUAUAAAUUGUCAGCCUUUCGAAUGCACCGAGCCCGGGGAGGGGACCAAGGGUGCGGUCAGAGGCUGGGCGACCAGGUGGCCUCACAGGUCCUGGCAAUUCGGGCGGGCCUUCACUACCCAGACUGGGGGGGACGCUGUCACCAGCUUAAAGCAAUUGGGAAUGUUUUCAUGGGCUUGGCCACCCGGGGGGCAAUCACAGAUCAGGGGCUCCGAGGUCAUUUUCGAGGAAGAGGCACGAGGUGUGCCAGCGCAGAUGCCGGAAACGCGCCCGUGGGCGUCGGGGAAGGCUUGGCGCGUUGUCACGUGCUGGGGGCCCCAUCACGUGACCGGACCCCCGUCACGUGCUGGGGGCGCCCUCGUGCGUCAGGGGCGCCCUCACGUGUCGGGACUCGCGGCGCCGCGUGCCUGGGCCUGCAGGUGGCACCUCCCGGGCCUCAUGGCCGCCUCGCCGCCCCCCAGCUGCGCUGGAGCCUCGGGGCCCUGGGGCCUGAGCCGCCGCCUCCUCCUGCUGCUGCUGCUGCUGCUGCCGCCGCUGCUGAACUCGGGUGAGGCCGCGCCUCCUCCGCGGCCGUGUGUUGCGUGUGUCCGCGUGUCCUCUGCCACCUCCCCCUCCCCCAGUCCCCGCUCUGCCCCUCCCAGCACCCCCCCCCCCCUUGAGGGCGGCCCCUCGGCCUGGCCCCCUCUUUGGCUACCUGGGACUCUGUGGACCCCGCCUCCCCACCGUCACCCGCCCUCCACUGCCACCCCUCAGGAUGGCGCCAGCCUCCUGCCGCCCUGGCCUCCCUCAGGUGCCACCCGCCCUGCCGCCUCCUGGGGACCUGCAGGGCGGAGGACCCCCUGCAUUUCCUCUCUCCCGAUGCGCAGCCACUUCCUCCCCAGUCCACGCGGGCCUGGUGGCCGAGACGGAGCCGCCCUCCCGGGCGUGGUCUGGCCUCCCCGACCCCAGGCCGCUGCGCAGGACCUGCAGGCCAGAGGCGCGUGGUCUCCCUGCGCUGAAACCGGGAUGCCACGUCCCCCUCUUCUGCCCCCGGCCCACUCCUCCCGUUGGCGCCCCUCUUGUCCUCCGAAGACGCAGGCCCCCAGGUGCUGUCCUCCUUGA
rnacentral:lncRNA from 1 species